rnacentral:rRNA from 1 species
ACAGGAAGAAGCUUGCUUCUUUGCUGACGAGUGGCGGACGGGUGAGUAAUGUCUGGGAAACUGCCUGAUGGAAGGGGAUAACUACUGGAAACGGUAGCUAAUACCGCAUAACGUCGCAAGACCAAAGAGGGGGACCUUCGGGCCUCUUGCCAUCGGAUGUGCCCAGAUGGGAUUAGCUAGUAGGUGGGGUAACGGCUCACCUAGGCGACGAUCCCUAGCUGGUCUGAGAGGAUGACCAGCCACACUGGAACUGAGACACGGUCCAGACUCCUACGGGAGGCAGCAGUGGGGAAUAUUGCACAAUGGGCGCAAGCCUGAUGCAGCCAUGCCGCGUGUAUGAAGAAGGCCUUCGGGUUGUAAAGUACUUUCAGCGGGGAGGAAGGGAGUAAAGUUAAUACCUUUGCUCAUUGACGUUACCCGCAGAAGAAGCACCGGCUAAUUCCGUGCCAGCAGCCGCGGUAAUACGGAGGGUGCAAGCGUUAAUCGGAAUUACUGGGCGUAAAGCGCACGCAGGCGGUUUGUUAAGUCAGAUGUGAAAUCCCCGGGCUCAACCUGGGAACUGCAUCUGAUACUGGCAAGCUUGAGUCUCGUAGAGGGGGGUAGAAUUCCAGGUGUAGCGGUGUAAU